UGUUGUGUGUGUCUGGGUGCUGUGUGUGUCUGGGUGCUGUGUGUGUCUGGGUGCUGUGUGUGUCUGGGGUGCUGUGUGUGUCUGGGUGCUGUGUGUGUCUGGGUGCUGUGUGUGUCUGGGUGGUGUGUGUGUCUGGGGGUGCUGUGUGUGCCUGGGUGCUGUGUCUGGGUGCUGUGUGUGUCUGGGGGGUGCUGUGUCUGGGUGUUGUGUGUGUCUGGGUGCUGUGUGUGUCUGGGUGCUGUGUAUGGGUGCUGUGUGUGUCUGGGGGGUGCUGUGUCUGGGUGUUGUGUGUGUCUGGGUGCUGUGUGUGUCUGUGGGUGCUGUGUGUGUCUGGGGGUGCUGUGUAUGGGUGCUGUGUGUGUCUGGGGGUGCUGUGUAUGG